UCUUCCAUCUCUUUCUUUCCUUUGAUCUGAUCAUCUCUAUAUUUUGCUUUUUUUAGCUUUGGAUUUUAGGUGAAAAUGGGGCUCACGUUUACAAAGCUGUUCAGCCGUCUGUUCACAAAGAAGGAGAUGAGGAUUUUGAUGGUCAGUCUUGAUGCCGCCGGUAAAACAACCAUCCUUUACAAGCUUAAGCUUGGAGAGAUCGUCACCACCAUUCCCACUAUUGGGGUUUCAAUGAUGCCAUCAAUGGAUUCCGUGAUGAUGGCUGGUCAGUGUUGGAUUCAGAUGGAGUCGAAGAUGUAAUAAUUGUAAUUAAUUCAACCAAGAAUAUGGGCACCCAUGUCACUAAUGCAAAUGCUCUCCCACUGCCUGAAGGCAUUCUCUGUGCAAAGGCCUCCAUGUUACUCCAGUUGAAGAGCUAUUUGUAAAAAGAAUCUCGUCUACAAGGACAGUGAAGCUGUCCAUCACCACUUAUACAAUGAUUUUAAUAGGAAAAUGCUGUAAAUUUGUUGAUAAUGAAGCUUGCAUGUUCAAACUCUGCAGUCUAUAUGUGAAAGAGUUGGCAAUGCUUUGGUAAUUGGCUCCCCAAAAUUGGCUACCUGUUUAGCAGAUUUUGGGUUUUUGAGUGCUCAGAGCAAGCCCCACUUGCACCAGCAUAUCAUCAACAUAAUUU